ACAAAUCUUUUGAUAGAAAAUUCUUGCUCUGUGUGUUUAAUUAUAGUUGGGAGGGCAUGCAUGGGCUGUCAGUUAGAGACUUUUGUUUUAGGAGUCAUCAGCAUACAGAUGAAUUUACUGUAGAAUUGUCUACAGCAUGAAUUUGGGAGCAGAGGCUAAAUCUUCCGUAGGACUUCAUCUGCUUUCGUGGCACAUUCCAUUUCUUAAAGUUUCACCCUAAAAGGUCAAUGUAAUUCACUGUUAUCUUUGCCAUUCUGAGUAGCUAUUUCCUGCUUAUUAGCUAGUUCUAAUGAGGAGCUAUUAUAGCUGCCCUGUGAUACCUGCACAAG